rnacentral:rRNA from 1 species
UACGUAGGGGGCAAGCGUUGUCCGGAAUCAUUGGGCGUAAAGCGCGUGUAGGCGGUCCGGUAAGUCCGCUGUGAAAGUCGGGGGCUCAACCCUCGGAUGCCGGUGGAUACUGUCGGGCUUGAGUACGGAAGAGGCGAGUGGAAUUCCUGGUGUAGCGGUGAAAUGCGCAGAUAUCAGGAGGAACACCAAUUGCGAAGGCAGCUCGCUGGGACGAUACUGACGCUGAGACGCGAAAGCGUGGGGAGCAAACAGG